rnacentral:rRNA from 1 species
CCUACGGGUGGCUGCAGUGAGGAAUAUUGGUCAAUGGUCGGGAGACUGAACCAGCCAAGCCGCGUGAGGGAUGAAGGUACAGUGUAUCGUAAACCUCUUUUGUCAGGGAACAAAGGCGGGGACGCGUCCCCGGAUGAGUGUACCUGACGAAAAAGCAUCGGCUAACUCCGUGCCAUCAGCCGCGGUAAUACGGAGGAGUCGAGCGUUAUCCGGAUUUAUUGGGGUUAAAGGGUGCGUAAGCGGUCUGUUAAGUCAGCCGUGAAAGCCCGGGGCCCAACCCCGGACCGGACGUUGAAACUGGCAGUCUCGAGUGGGAGAGAGGUAUGCGGAAUGCGCGGUGUAGCGGUGAAAUGCAUAGAGAUCGCGCAGAACUCCGAUUGCGAAGGCAGCAUGCCGGCUCAACACUGACGCUGAGGCACGAAAGCGUGGGUAUCGAACAGGAUUAGAUACCCUUGUAGUC